UCUUGUGUCAAUCGGGAGAGAAGGCCACGCCCCGUAAUAGACAGCACAACAUGGGCUGGUUCGGUUCCUUUGUCCUGCCCCAAGCAGAGCCUCAGUCAGCUACUGCUCCAGCCCCUGCCCAGGGGUUGCUUCUCCACGCACAACCCCCCCUUCCAUGGGAACAGGCGGCAGGAGUCCCACAGUCCUGGCUCUGCUAGAGGCACUGGUGCCAGCUCUUGCAGUUUUGUUUUUUAGCCCCAGGCUCCUGCUUUUAAGUUGUUUUUCUUCGAGCCCAGUGAUCAAAACCGCCUUGAGAUCGUCAUGGAAAGUUUCUACCCUUAUGAGGGUGGGGGAAAGCUGGCAGAGGGGACCCCUAUGCACCCUGCAGCCAUAGAAACCAGAAAACAAAGAAUGAACAACGUGGAAGCUCCUUGUGGCAGGAAUCAUCUUCGUGUUCUGCCUCUGUACAGCUAUUAGCCUCAUGGGGUUCCACUCUAUGACAUGGGCUGUAACUAACUACUACACGAAUAGCUUCUUUUUUUUUUUUUUCAAAGGCCCAUGUGUUUAAAAGUAAUCUCAGUGUGUAGGGGCCUGACUCAAGAGCUUCAGUAAUACUAGGAAAGUCAGAUCAAGACAUGGAUAAUGCAAGUGAACAUUCCAAAUUGAACCGUCAAGUCUCAAAAGACAGGAUUAUAACCUUCACUGUAGAAGCCGCUAUUAUGGAAUGAGCAGAUUUCAAACACAAAUAUCUUUCAAUGA